UACGAAGGGGGCUAGCGUUGCUCGGAAUCACUGGGCGUAAAGCGCACGUAGGCGGCUUUUUAAGUCAGGGGUGAAAUCCUGGAGCUCAACUCCAGAACUGCCUUUGAUACUGAGAAGCUUGAGUCCGGGAGAGGUGAGUGGAACUGCGAGUGUAGAGGUGAAAUUCGUAGAUAUUCGCAAGAACACCAGUGGCGAAGGCGGCUCACUGGCCCGGUACUGACGCUGAGGUGCGAAAGCGUGGGGGGCGAACAGG
rnacentral:rRNA from 1 species